GACGAACGCUGGCGGCGUGCCUAAUACAUGCAAGUAGAACGCUGAAGGAGGAGCUUGCUUCUCUGGAUGAGUUGCGAACGGGUGAGUAACGCGUAGGUAACCUGCCUGGUAGCGGGGGAUAACUAUUGGAAACGAUAGCUAAUACCGCAUAAUAGCAGUUGUUGCAUGACAACUGUUUGAAAGGUGCAAUUGCACCACUACCAGAUGGACCUGCGUUGUAUUAGCUAGUUGGUGGGGUAACGGCUCACCAAGGCGACGAUACAUAGCCGACCUGAGAGGGGGAUCGGCCACACUGGGACUGAGACACGGCCCAGACUCCUACGGGAGGCAGCAGUAGGGAAUCUUCGGCAAUGGACGGAAGUCUGACCGAGCAACGCCGCGUGAGUGAAGAAGGUUUUCGGAUCGUAAAGCUCUGUUGUAAGAGAAGAACGAGUGUGAGAGUGGAAAGUGCACACUGUGACGGGAUCUUACCAGAAAGGGACGGCGAACUACGU
rnacentral:rRNA from 1 species